rnacentral:antisense_RNA from 1 species
UUUUAUGGCGGCUGUGUGCGGGAGGCCUUCGGGCCUGCUGGGUUCCUUUUGCCCCAGUCGACCAACCCGCGCACAGCUGCCACCCAA